CAGUCGCCACGGGAAUACGAAGGGGGCUAGCGUUGUUCGGAAUCACUGGGCGUAAAGGGUGCGUAGGCGGGAUCUUAAGUCAGGGGUGAAAUCCCGAGGCUCAACCUCGGAACUGCCUUUGAUACUGGGGUCCUUGAGUCCGGAAGAGGUGAGUGGAACUGCGAGUGUAGAGGUGAAAUUCGUAGAUAUUCGCAAGAACACCGGUGGCGAAGGCGGCUCACUGGUCCGGAACUGACGCUGAGGCACGACAGCGUGGGGAGCAAACAGGAUUAGAUACCCCAGUAGUCCCUGUCUCUUAUAC
rnacentral:rRNA from 1 species